GGCCUGAUGGUCUAGUAGUAUGAUUCUCGCUUUGGGUAGAAGACAAAGGGAUGUCUGCGAGAGGUCCUGGGUUCAAUUCCCAGUCAGGCCC